UUCGAUCUGGCUCAGGAUGAACGCUAGCGACAGGCUAACACAUGCAAGUCGAGGGGCAGCAUAGAAGUAGCAAUACUUGGUGGCGACCGGCGCACGGGUGAGUAACGCGUAUGCAACCUACCUAUCAGAGGGGAAUAACCCGGCGAAAGUCGGACUAAUACCGCAUAAAACAGGGGCACCGCAUGGUGAUAUUUGUUAAAGAAAUUCGCUGAUAGAUGGGCAUGCGUUCCAUUAGGUAGUUGGUGAGGUAACGGCUCACCAAGCCGACGAUGGAUAGGGGAACUGAGAGGUUGGUCCCCCACACUGGUACUGAGACACGGACCAGACUCCUACGGGAGGCAGCAGUGAGGAAUAUUGGUCAAUGGGCGGGAGCCUGAACCAGCCAAGUCGCGUGAAGGAAGAAGGAUCUAUGGUUCGUAAACUUCUUUUGCAGGGGAAUAAAGUGCAGGACGUGUCCUGUUUUGUAUGUACCCUGAGAAUAAGGAUCGGCUAACUCCGUGCCAGCCGCCGC
rnacentral:rRNA from 1 species